GAUCGAGAUUUGAGGUGCAGAGAUUCAUUUCCACAGGGCUGUUUAUUGACUGCCUGCAUUGCCUCCAUCCUUUGGGAAUUGUACUCAAGGGGAGAGAAAGGGGAGGAUUGGAAUGUUGUCACUCCAUUUCGCACAGAAGUAGAACAUGAAAAUGUAAACAAGGAGUCUGAUACAGAAGGCAAAGGGAAAAGCAGACCCUCUAUCCUCUAUCUGAGGAGGGAAAGGGGGGAUACAAAUGAAAGGGUCUCAAGAGGACAGAGAGGGGUGGGAGAGCACUCUGGAGAGACAGAUCAUCAGCCGAGGGUCAAAGCUGGGGCGCAGACUGGACUCCCACAGGGAGAGUGUCCGCAAAGUUCAACUGAUCCAAGGGGCGUGGGCCUUGACUGACCCUCUUACCCAGUACUGGCUCAGUCAGGAUGGAGAACAAUCCAUGGAUUCUAGGAUUUACCUGCUGGAGAAGGUCUUACCGUCUCUGGUCCCAUGUGUCGGGCAGCUCCUUAGAGAGGCAGAGCGGAGGGGAGAGACUGAGGGAGAGGGAGAAGAAGGGGAAAGGAGGAGGCGUGAGGUUGAAGUGGGUUCAUCUCCCUUCAGUCCCCUGCUUUAUCUGGGCCAUUGCUUGAUAAGGUCCUCCUCUGCCCCCUCUCUUCAUCCCCCUCUCUAUUCCAUCCCCCUCCUUUCUGACCGAGAAGAGGCAGACGCAGCCCAGUACCGCCUGGGGCUGGAGCUCACUCUGCAACUGCUACAUGCACCAUGCAGCCGGUGGGAUAUAUUCAUCACCCCUGAGAGAGAGAGAGAGAGAGAGAGAGAGAGAGAGAGAGAGAGAGAGAGAGAGAGAGAGAGAGAGAGAGAGAGAGAGAGAGAGAGAGAGAGAGA